GAUGAACGCUGGCGGCGUGCCUAAUACAUGCAAGUCGAGCGAACGGACGAGAAGCUUGCUUCUCUGAUGUUAGCGGCGGACGGGUGAGUAACACGUGGAUAACCUACCUAUAAGACUGGGAUAACUUCGGGAAACCGGAGCUAAUACCGGAUGAUAUUUUGAACCGCAUGGUUCAAAAGUGAAAGACGGUCUUGCUGUCACUUAUAGAUGGAUCCGCGCUGCAUUAGCUAGUUGGUAAGGUAACGGCUUACCAAGGCAACGAUGCAUAGCCGACCUGAGAGGGUGAUCGGCCACACUGGAACUGAGACACGGUCCAGGCUCCUACGGGAGGCAGCAGUCGGGAAUCUUCCGCAAUGGGCGAAAGCCUGACGGAGCAACGCCGCGUGAGUGAUGACGGUCUUCGGAUCGUAAAACUCUGUUAUUAGGGAAGAACAUAUGUGUAAGUAAAUGUGCACAUCUUGACGGUACCUAAUCAGAAAGCCACGGCUAACUACGUG
rnacentral:rRNA from 1 species